AAUAUUGGACAAUGGGGGGAACCCUGAUCCAGCCAUGCCGCGUGUGUGAAGAAGGUCUUCGGAUUGUACAGCACUUUAAGUUGGGAGGAAGAGUUGUAGGCUAAUACCUUGCAAUUUUGACGUUACCAACAGAAUAAGCACCUGCUAACUUCGUGCCAGCAGCCGCGGUAAUACGAAGGGUGCAAGCGUUAAUCGGAAUUACUGGGCGUAAAGCGCGCGUAGAUGGUUCAGUAAGAUGGGUGUGAAAUCCCCGGGCUCAACCUGGGAACUGCAUCCAUAACUGCUGGGCUAGAGUAUGGCAGAGGGUGGUGGAAUUUCCUGUGUAGCGGUGAAAUGCGUAGAUAUAGGAAGGAACACCAGUGGCGAAGGCGACCACCUGGGCUAAUACUGACACUGAGGUGCGAAAGCGUGGGGAGCAAACAGG
rnacentral:rRNA from 1 species